GACGGAGGAUGCAAGCGUUAUCCGGAAUUAUUGGGAGUAAAGCGUCCGCAGGUGGACAUACAAGUCUGCUGUCAAAGUGCAGAGCUUAACUCUGUAAAGGCGGUGGAAACUGUAGGUCUUGAGUAUGGUAGGGGUAGAGGGAAUUCCCGGUGUAGCGGUGAAAUGCGUAGAUAUCGGGAAGAACACCAGUGGCGAAAGCGCUCUACUGGGCCAUAACUGACACUGAGGGACGAAAGCUAGGGGAGCGAAAGGG
rnacentral:rRNA from 1 species